rnacentral:rRNA from 1 species
CCUACGGGGGGCAGCAGUGGGGAAUAUUGCACAAUGGGGGAAACCCUGAUGCAGCGACGCCGCGUGAGUGAAGAAGUAAUUCGUUAUGUAAAGCUCUAUCAGCAGGGAAGAAAAUGACGGUACCUGAGUAAGAAGCCCCGGCUAACUACGUGCCAGCAGCCGCGGUAAUACGUAGGGGGCAAGCGUUAUCCGGAUAUACUGGGUGGAAAGGGAGCGUAGACGGCAGUGCAAGUCUGGAGUGAAAGGCGGGGGCUCAACCCCCGGACUGCUCUGGAAACUGUACGGCUGGAGUGCAGGAGAGGUAAGUGGAAUUCCAAGUGUAGCGGUGAAAUGCGUAGAUAUUAGGAAGAACACCAGUGGCGAAGGCGGCUUACUGGACUGUAACUGACGUUGAGGCUCGAAAGCGUGGGGAGCAAACAGGAUUAGAUACCCCAGUAGUC